rnacentral:rRNA from 1 species
GACGAACGCUGGCGGCGUGCUUAACACAUGCAAGUCGAACGGGAGUAUCGAAGAAGCUUGCUUUAGAGAUACUUUAGUGGCGGACGGGUGAGUAACGCGUGAGGAGCUGUCCUAUGCAGGGGGACAACAGUUGGAAACGACUGCUAAUACCCCAUAAGCCGAGAGGUAAAAGGAUUUAUCCGGCAGAGGAGGUACUCGCGUCCUAUCAGCUAGUAGGUGAGGUAACGGCUCACCUAGGCGAAGACGGGUAGCCGGCCUGAGAGGGCGAACGGCCACACUGGAACUGAGAUACGGUCCAGACUCCUACGGGAGGCAGCAGUGGGGAAUAUUGGGCAAUGGGGGGAACCCUGACCCAGCGACGCCGCGUGGGUGAAGAAAUCCCCCGGGAUGCAAAGCCCUGUUGUAUGGGAAGAGCGGAAGACGGUACCAUACGAGGAAGCCCCGGCAAACUACGUGCCAGCAGCCGCCGUAAUAC